AUGGACGUCGCCGACGCUGCCUCCAAGUCCGGCCACCAGGAGCAGGGUCACAGGACGGUGUCAUCGGAGCCGCCGAAGCGGCCGGCGGGGCGGACCAAGUUCCGUGAGACACGACACCCGCUGUACCGCGGCGUGCGGCGCCGUGGCCGGGUCGGGCAGUGGGUGUGCGAGGUGCGCGUGCCAGGAGUGAAGGGCUCCAGGCUCUGGCUCGGCACCUUCACCACCGCCGAGAUGGCGGCGCGCGCGCACGACGCCGCGGUGCUCGCGCUCUCCGGCCGCGCCGCCUGCCUCAACUUCGCCGACUCCGCAUGGCGGAUGCUGCCCGUGCUCGCGGCCGGGUCGUUCGGCUUCGGCAGCGCGCGGGAGAUCAAGCUUGCCGUCAGCCGUCGCCGUCGUCGCGUUCCAGCUGCAGCAGAAUAUUCCUCCAGCCGCGUGUCCAACGGUGGAGCCGACCGACAGCCCGAGCAACUCUCUGUUCUACAUGUCGUCCGGCGACCUGCUGGAGCUCGACGAGGAGCACUGGUUUGGCGGCAUGGAUGCCGGGUCGUACUACGACAGCUUGGCGCAGGGGAUGCUCGUGGAGCCGCCGGACGACAGAGCGAGGCGGGAGGACGCCGAGCAGACGGGCGUCGAGACACCGACGCCGCUAUGGAGCUAUUUGUUUGA
rnacentral:rRNA from 1 species